rnacentral:lncRNA from 10 species
CGAGCCUCAGUUUCUGAUUCCACAACAAUUCAUCUAUUCACUCAUGUAUUUACUCAAUUGAAUUGUUGACGCUGCAAUUGCCAGCAACAUGCCCUUGACCUCCAGGACAGACUGGGUCUGUGAACUCUAAACCCUCAUGCAUAACUGUCCCUUAAACAUCUUUACUGAGGCUAAGCAGGGGUUCUCCAGCAGAGAUGGAAAAGAAGGGGUGCAGGCAGAGAAGACGACACAGCUCAGGUUCCAAGCUUGAGAAAGCAGAGGCUGCUUGGAGAACUGCAAGUUGCUCCACACGAUGAAGAGGAGCUGGGACAGCGCGGCUGGGCAAGGGCUUUGGGUGCCACGACAAAGGGUUCAGAUUUAUCCCGCAGGAAACUGGAAGUCAGUGAAUACUGCUAUGGCGGUGGUCCAGUGGAGGAAAUGGGAAGGAGGGGAUGAACAGAGACAUCGAGGAGGUGAACUGGUCAGAGCCCUUCUCCAACAGGGGCCAGGAUGUA